rnacentral:misc_RNA from 1 species
GAGAUCUGCAAAACGUAUUGUUGACUUUCGGCUUGUGGAUGCUACAGCCCUCUUAAUUUCAUUUACUUCGACGGAAAUGUCAGCAUCGAACCCUCGGAGAACUUGCAAAGAGGUUUCAAAAUCAUCUGUCAGACCCAUCUUGGCCAACCACCGAGGAGAUUCUGGGAUGAAAAAUAGGCCAGGUAUCAAUGCAAGGCAGGGCAAUGUUCCAAGAAAAGCGAGCACUCUCCAAUUAACAAAAAGUCCUAGCAAAUAAGCCAACAUGAUCCCAAUUGUAACAGAGAGCUGGUUAACUGACCCCAGGGCCCCUCUCAGGUUCUGAGGUGCUAUCUCGGCAAUAUAUACAGGAACCGUGUAAGAUAUUAUGCCGACUCCAAAACCUUCCAAUAAUCUUC